rnacentral:rRNA from 1 species
GACGAACCGUGCGAACGUUGUUCGGAAUCACUGGGCUUAAAGGGCGCGUAGGCGGCCGCUCAAGUCGGGGGUGAAAUCUUUCCGCUUAACGGGAAAAGUGCCUCCGAUACUGGGCGGCUGGAGGGGGAUAGGGGUGCGCGGAACUUCCGGUGGAGCGGUGAAAUGCGUAGAUAUCGGGAGGAAUACCGAUGGCGAAGGCAACUGCCUGGGCCUGAACUGACACUGUGACUCGAAAGCGUGGGUAGCAAACAGG